CCAUGUAAAUGCAGCUAGUGACUAAAAUGCAAAGUCAAAGUAUUCUCUACGCUCAGUCUUUGGAAAGAAAAGAUUGCAUUGUCCCUUUGGGUCACAUGUAUUCAUAGCAGCAUAAUGGAUAUAACUGACUGACUUGCAAAACUACCAAGCAUAGUGGCUUAAUAAAUGAUCUCCGUGGACACGAAAUCAUGUGGAGCAAAGCUCAAACUGAAUUCAGAAUUGCUGCAACAAGAACACUGAACAGAAAAAUAUUUCAGCCUCACGGUUCCCAGCUUUCUGCCAAUUUUACUCUCACUGAGGAUAAUAUGCUUGUCCACAUGGUCAGGUAUCAGUUGGAGUCACAAUCGGUCCAAACCUUUGCGAAUCUGAACUUUCACAUUCCCACAUGCGCCACAACCGUGUAAAAUCUAGAUGUCAGUGGGGACGGUGUGCGUGUCUGAGAGGUGUUCACUAACACACAGCAGAGCCCCAAGCACAUGAAACUGGUGAGCUUCGGCUGCCUUUUUGUUCCAGAUUUGGACCAAGAAGAAAACACAGACUAAUUUAUCUGCACUUUGUCGAUUGAAUGAGAAGUUAAUCCAUCUCCACUCUAGUUGUCCCCACGUUUUGAUAAAUCCAGUCCAAGGAUCUCCUAAACUGUGGGUGUUUUGUUAUUUAACACUGAGUCUGAAGUAAUCAAAUUCAGAACCCUUUAUUAAGUGUGUGUUAUUAGCCAGUGGCUUCAAAUAAAAUCAUUAAUUUUCUGACAAAUAAUGAAUCUGCAGUUUUCCUUGUCAACAAUGCAGCAAAAUCAAUGUAGCUUACCUCUAGGGAUGUAAUAAUGAAAUCAAUCAAAUGAAAUGUUAACGUUUCCCUGAUUUAGAUUUCAAUUAUCCACUGUGCAAAUGAGGGAAGGCCUAAUUAAGCCCUGGUCCAGUCCAAAAUAAACUAUUAAUUUACAAAUCCUUUUGUGGUUUACUUCAGAGACCACAAGAGACAUAUUUAUAAAACAUGCAAAAGAUGUUGGAAAGAAAAUAAAGACACAAGAGAAGAGCAGCUGGGAGGGAUAUGGGAGAGAAAAAAGACAGAUUAUCAUGUGUUUGACAUUUCAGCGUCUGGUGAAAGAGAGGGGAUGGGGGAAAGUCGACGAAUAGACAAGGGAUUAGGGGUCUGAAAAGCAAGUCAGCUUCUCAUAAGAUGCUUUCCCUCUUAAAUGCAAGGGGGUGGAAGUGAAAGGAGAGCCCGUGGUCAGGACAAAGGAUGGCGAAAGAAGGAAAGAAAGAGAUGUGAGAGGGGAAGAGAAAGGAGAAGUGAGAGAGCACUCCUACACUCAGCAGUCUGUUAUUUCUAAAAACCACCCUCCAGGCUUGCAGGAUGGAGUGACGCAUGUGUGAAUACGGGGAAUCUACUUGUUUUCUACACAAAUACACGAGGACACACUCACACUAAGGUAAAAAGAAACCAAAGCACAUCCUUUCACCUUCCAACAGCUUCUACAGGCCUGACUAUGAACAUUACUGUACACACACACUCUGAUCUCAAAUUACACAUAAAGAUCAUUAAGCAAAAACAUGUUGUACACAGGGUUUGGUUUGUUUCUAUUUAUUCUCUGAUUCCCUGAACACGCCAUAAAAGAGAAAAACCCAUAACAUAUCCAUUUAUCAGAUUUCAUUAGGGAUGUCAGAAAUGUUGCUUAAUCUUCUUCAUAAUCUGGUUGUUGGGAUGAAGCCAUUAGGAGCUGUAUGGAAGCCAAGAUGUGACACAAUGAGGCUGAACGCUGAGCCAAAAGAAACCAGAUCACCAUGUUCCCAAAAACUAAAAGGCCCCCUUUUUUUAGAUUCUGUGAACUAGAUGUGAAGCAAUAAAGUGAGGCUGUAAUAUCAGCUGUGGAAUCACUGUCUCCAUCAUGUACUGUAGCUUGAAUUCAGAGAAAUAACUUGUAAUGUCCACAAAAAAAGAGAGACACAUAGGCAUAAUCAGCUUAGUGUGGUCAAAAGUUUUGUUCAUGUAGUGUGUGGUGUGCAACAAUGUGCUGAACGUAGCACACCACACACACACACACACAUACACACAAAGCCUUUUUCACCCAACUCUCAUAACGGGACAUCUCAUAAAGUAUCUCUGUAACAAAUGUGAUUUUAGAGAAAACAAACAUGGCCGCCAAUGGGAGCUAGCUAUUAAUAAGCUACUUAGUAACCUGGUAUUUCUGUUGAAGUAGAAAUUUCUUUUCCCCUUUGUUAUUUUGGUUGUGAUGGGUUUUAUUAAACACACUUGGAGUAAACACUGACUUAACACGAUCAUUAUUAUUUACUAUUGGAAUCCAUUUUUCAACUUCCAUCUCAGUUUAUGCUUUGCAUUUGCCAUCGUUCAGGUGAUUGCGGUUGCUGUGCUUCAGUAUUUAAGUCAGCUCCUUUUCCUGGUUUGCUAUCAAGUUGUUCCAUGUAACAAUGGACUACCUGCAAAAUCAGGCAUCCUUGGGUUCUCCCCCCAAUACAAAGGCAGGGCUCUCAAGUUUUGAAGUGAGUUCAGAGUGAGAGUUUACCAGCGGCGGUGGGGAUUUGGUUGAGGUGGGGAUGGAUGUCUGACAAAUUACGCAUAAAUUCAUUCGUGUGUGUUGUUUGUUGUAAGUGUUUGUGGCUUGCUUUGAGGCCUUAAGGACGGGGGUUGGUGGCUCCCACUUGAAACAUUGUGGUUCCAAACCAGCCAUUUUUACUGUCAUGAUUGAUGACAGAGUGCCAUUAAGUGCCAAACUGUUUCUCGUUCUGGUCUUGUUUAGACCAACCAUGGAGAACACCCUCUCAGCUAACUCUUAUCCAGACACACAUGCAUAAUUGUUCCCACUCCUUCUGCCUGGACAAAAUAUUCAUAGACAGUAUAAAGGAGACUAUUCCACAGCAACGAAUAAAAUGAUGAGAUGACUUACUGUAAUCAUCAGGUCUUUGCGUCCUUAUGAAACCCUCUUCAUUUCGGUGAGUGUCUGUUUUCUUUUGUAGCGAAACCGCAGGAUAUCAGAAUCUACCAGGAUACAGCAAUGCUACUUUUUGAUUGGCUGUUUGUUAGAUAUACUUUAUUUGAUGGGCUUGCGCGUGGCACGCAGCUUCUGAACUCUUGGGGGAAUUCACUUGAUUCCUACCUGUUCCACUGUUAAAGGGGUGCAACUUAGUGGAUGUCACUGUGUUAAUCUAAAUGCGUUAGAAAUACAAUGUGUGGCGUGUGAGCAUGUGAACAGGUGGUGGGAAUGUGUGUUUCACACGCCAAAUAAGAGACUUGAGAGCCCUUUUGAUUUUGAUUAUGACAUUACAUUACAUGUUUAAUAUUCACAAUUCUGAAUCAGGGGUACUCCGCACAAAUUGGAAAGCAGAAAAGUCCCUCCUAACACAUUGUACACCACAGGAUAAUCGAGCAAGAUUACCUUUAGCCCAUUCAAUAAUUGGGCUUUUUCAGACAUCUGUCAGAAGGGGGAAUCAAGUCCAAAAGUAGCACAUUUAUCCUGUAUUGUGCGCUAAACUUAAGCUGUCAACCGUACCUUUGUGGGUCUUAUUUUUAAACUAAUAAUCAACUCGCAAAUGCUAACUCUUGCAAAUGCUUUUGCACAUCAAUAUUUAUGGCAUUAAGGUUGAAAAAGUAAUUUACAAAGGAAUACAAAGGAGGAUUGGCGAUGAUUGACUUCCUAGUCUGCAACAUGUGAGGCAAUCUUGUCUCUAAUGGCAUGCCCUGGCUCUGACCUAUCACUUUUUUGACCCUUUUCUCAAUUGUUACAACAAACCCAAGAGAGAACCUCAAAAUAUAUCUUUAUUUCAACACAGGUUGUUUCUGAUUAUUAUGUAAGCCUUGCAAUAUCAUUGUAUUGUUGUUGUUGUUGUUGUUGUUGUUGUUGUUGUUGUGCCUGUCUCAAGGCUUUCCAUUUUUUUAAGACAACUUCCUGUCAGUCAUGUUGCUCCAGCUAUGAAUAAACAUGCAAAAAAAAAGAAAAAAAAAAGAAAAAGAAAAGUCUUUUCUAGCAUCUCCAAAAAUAAAAACUCAGAACCCCAGAGAAGGAAAAUCAUGACCAUCAAACUAACAAUGCCCUCAAAUACAUCAAUAAUAUUACCAUUCAGUUUGACAGUCAAGUGGAAAAAAAUCCAGAGAACAAAAGAUUUUGGUCAAUCACAGCCAAUUUCCAACACUUUCAAGAAGAAGAAGAGCAAUUCAAGAACCAGGCAUACUUAUACAGUAUGGACUAUUAUCAGCUCCCAUAAGAGCUGACUUUAAAUGGUUAAAAAAAUGUAUUAUUCAUGUGAAAAGAGCUAUUCCAGUAAAGAGCAGAGCUGUCGUUUUCGUGGAAAAAUUAUAUAUCGGACAAAAAGCUGUGUGCUGGUAAAUUUGUGACAUCUUUAGUCACCUCUAUAGGACUUUUCCUCACACACCAUAUACCUGCAAAGUCCCACUCCCUUUUACUACACAGAGGCUCAAUCACUCACUCUCAUCAUUCCUUUCAAGCAAUUUAACCACUGGGGAGGU
rnacentral:lncRNA from 1 species